GUUAUUAAACACAGGCUUUGAUGAUGACACAUUUCCCAUGUUCAUAACUUGUGAUUGGUGAAGAAACAGCUGAGGCCUAGAUAAGUUAUGUGCCCAAUGCCACACAGCUAGAAAGCUACAAAGCUGAAGUUUGAACCCAACUCAUCUUGGUCCAGAGUCUGUGCACAGAAGUCCUCAUACAUCCAGCACUCAGCCUGCUCUUGAGCAAAAGGUACAUGUCCAACUUAAGAAAGCGUUUACUACUAGAGAUCGCUGAAAAAAUCAUAAGUCAUUUCAAUCAGGUUGAAUGCACUGCCCCAGAGAUGUUCAAGAAGAGGUUCAAGGACUUCUUAGGACGGAGUUUUAUGAGAGGCACCAACAUUGAAGACAUCAAAUCCAAUUGUAAAGUCCUUCCAAAUGGAAGAUUGUAAAAGCAUCUAAAGGUCUAUUCUGGAUGGGAAGAUAACAUGGGCAAAGGUAAUGACUAUCUGGGAGGAGCAGACCAGUAUGGCUGUAAUGAGAAAUUCAUGGAGAAGAGUGGUUUCCAGUAAUGCUGCAAAAAUCGGCUAGAAUCAGAUUGCGAGAGACCCUGAAUGUCAGCAAAAUCGGGUUUUGGUCUUAAUCCUCUUAAUCCUUUAACUGAUGGGAAGACUUAAAGAGUUCCUCCUCUGGAAAGUGAUAAAGUUUUGCCUUUUUUUUUUUUUUCUAGUUUGGAGUUUUUUGUUUUGUUUUGUUUUUGAUACAAAGGGUAUGAAGUAAAUUAAUCAGAUGACAUUCUUGAUCUACUGCGAAUGACUCAGUCAAGCCUCUUUUGCAUCUUCUCUUCCUCCCACUGUCCACAAGGUGGCACCAGAACUCAAAAUCAGAACUCCCUGGAAGGUUGUCUAACUGUUCCAAGCCUUUCCUGUAGGAUGACUCCUAUAAAGAUACUUUUGAGGUGAACAUGUCAAAAUAUAUUUUUAUUAACAAUUUUUAAUCGGCCUCUUCAUUCACUCUGGUGUAUUUUUCCAGGAGUUAACAAUUUUCGUCUUAACUGACUGCAACGUUCUGAAGAACUUCUGGGGACUGUGCCAGUUUAGAGACUAUUGUAGACCAAAAUCAUAAACAACACAUCCUACAGAAAAUGCUAAUGAUCAACUGGACGUUGAUACAGUGGAAUUUGUUCGACCCUCGAUGACUUCCAGAAGGGGGGAGCUGUUCUAGUUCACAAGAUGGAGAGGUUUGUCAGGUGGCCGGUUAAAUAAGCUUCUUGACACUUAACUCUAGGUAGGAUGUGGAAGAAGAUGAAAGUCUGAGCCAACUUACUACCUAAUUCUUCAGGAAAGAAAUGUGAGAGUACAGCACUGUGUCCCCUCUUACCUUUCCAAGUGGCUUUUCAUGCUGUCAACUACUUUACACUGCAGAGGGCUCUCUCCUUUACAUAUUUCUUAAGCAAUUUUUUUUUCUUAAUGUCACAGUUCUGCUUUUCUUUUGUCUUUUUUUUUUUUUUUUUAAAUAAUGAGAGGGAAGCAGGCUUUCAAUUUGUUGGAAAGUUUCUGUUCUCACCAACCUCUAUAAAAAGCAAUCAUUCUUGGUCACUUGUAAAUAUGCCUAGUACGCGUAUCAGGCUUCCUAUUUUAAACAUCUAAGACUAGUUUGUAUGAUUCGAAAUUUCAAAAGGCAAAAUGGCCUAGCACCCAAAUCACAGGUAAGUGGGCACAUGGCAUUUUCCCCUAAAUCCUUCAAACUGAAAUUUGAGGAGGAAACACAAAGUUAGUGAGCGUGUGACAAAGCAGGUAUUGUUUAUAAAGAUAAAGAGGCUUCUGUCUAAAUACCAUGGUCUCAAUUUCCCAGAUUCUAGAGAAAAAGAAAAAAAAAGUAAGUAUUCUAUUUAAUUUUAUUUACUUGAAAUUCUUAUGUUUUAGUUUUUCCAAACCUGUCUCUUCUAAAAUGGGCAGUAGAAAAGAGAGGCUAAUAUAGAUGAUAGACUGAUGGACUUGGAUAAAUAAUUAAUGGCCUGGAGUAAUUAGCUGGAAGAUGUUUAAUCAUUAAUUUGUCUGAGUCAUCAGAAGCAUUUGAGCUUACCCAUAAAAUAUUCCACUAAUCAUGAGUGUGUAUAUUUUGUCAAGAUGGAAAUUAAUAUGAGAUGAGAAUUAGCACUUUGAAAAAUUAAAAUACAGGACAAGUCUGUUUGGUCUACUCUUUGUUUAAGAUAAAUGAAAUUUUGCUUUCCUUUACUGUACCUAAUGAGAAAAAAAAGGUACAUAAAUUCUAUCUGUACACAUAACCAAGAAGUCAAACUUUUUGGUUGGAGAGGCAAAGUAAUUGGCAAGUUUGUCUUUCUUUAGGGACUUAUUUAGGGGGUAGGAGAGCAAAAACAAAAACACUUCAUUAUUAAAGUAUCUGGUGAACAAUUAGGCCUCUUUCAGAGGAUUUAAGGGGAAAGGGUCCUGUAACAUAAUGCAAUUUAUGGCUGUGUUCUUCAAUGUGGUGUUUUCCAAUACAAUUUUAUUACAGGCUCUAAAUUAUACUUUCACAGGAAAGGUCUGUCUUUAAACUUUUAGGUCACAAUUGUUCAGAUCUUUUCACACUGAAUCAAUCAGGUUUAAAGCUGGCAAAAUCCUUGGCAGCCUUGUAAAUCUUUCAAAAGAUGUUAUCCAAUUACCCUUCAUGGGCCACAGGAUUCUACAGCAUGACUAUUUCCUUCUCUAUGAGGAAUUAAGUGCUCAUGAGAGGUUAGAAACCAAUGGAGUUGAAAAGCAAGGUUCUGCAUUUUUCCUCCAGUUCACAUGGUAGAGAUAUAGGCAGCUACUGAGAUUUCCUGAGAUCUGCCACAGACAUUCUGGCCCUCCUGGCAUCAUUAAAAUUUUAAUUGCUUUAAAUCAGAAAAAAAAAAAAAAAAAAGAAGACAUUAACACCAGAAUGGUUCUUGUUACAAAACCUUAUUUUUGGAGCUGUAUUAAGGAUUUACCAGAAGAACAUGUUCCAAAUGGAAAGCAUAAGAGAUCACUAUUACUCUUAGUUACUUUUGCAAGAAAAACAUUUUUAGGUACAGUCAGUAAAUACACAAGGGAUUGAAAAAGAAAAUAACAAAGAGGAUAAAUGUACUUCUUUAGUCUGUGUUGAUCUAAAAAAUGUGCUUAUUUUCCAUUUAAAAAACACAUAUUAAUCUCUGUUAGUUCUUCCUCUUCUAGGUUUCCGAUAUAGAAUACUAAUAAAAGGCUAAGGAGACAUUCAAUUUAUAUAAAAGCCUAUUUCAUGCCACUUGGUUUCAAGGGAGAAAAUAAUCAUGGGCAGAAUCAUUUGAAAAUAAUUUUUCAAGGAAAAAUGUGAACAUGUAGCUAGAUUGCUUCACAGAAGUUAGGAAAGCACAGCUUUCCUUUGUCAUGUAAAAAGCAGAGUGGAGGUUAUGGGAUUCCAGCUGCACCUUUGACCUCAAGGCUUCUUGAGUCACUCACUUGUCAUGACCUUUGACCUUUGGCAAAUCAUGACCCUAUCUGUUUCGCUUGAUUUUUACUAUCUACAACAAAAGGCCUUUUCCCCUCUGGAACACAUAAGCAGAAGUCAUAUAAAUGUUUGCAAAUAGUUUGUCCGCCAACCAUCAGGCAAAGAGAGAAGAAGUAUAAAAAAAAAUUACAAAGCAUGGAGGAAAAUGCUCUAACAUAUAAAGUUUCCUCCAGUGGCGUAGAUUGAUUUCAAUGACUACAGUGUAAACACCUGGAUUCAUGUUCCCUCUUUUAAAAAUCUUUACUUUCUUUGAUUUAAAAUAUAAUGUAGUAAGAGGUGAAAAGAUUGGUGUUUUAAUAAAUUAUACUUCUUGUACUUUGCACUCUAGUCACUAAAAAUUGCAGACAUCAUCUCACAGCUGUGUGUUAUCAAUACCUCCUUUUACUCACUUUCUAGAUUGUUUCCAUUUCCAAAGAAAUGCAAUUCCUUUUUACAAGAUUGUGAGUGAAAGGUAAAUAUGUGCAAACUUUGGGAAUAAAAUGUAGUGUUGGAGCUAACUCAAGUACAGAAGAGGAAACCAGGCUUGCAAAAGCGUACAUAGAAGCUCUCCGGGUAGAAUAUUCAACCACUUAACACAUAUAAUUCUAAGUCCCAAACCUUAUUUAGUCUUUACGAUAAUAGCAAUUAUUCCGAAUCUAUUUAAUACACACUGCUGAUUGGUAACACAUGCUUCGAGUUUUCACAAGUUUUCCUUUCGAAUACUGAAGUUUGUUUGCUUGCUUGUUUUAAGCAAGUAAUAAGGAGAAAAAAGCUUGAAGAUAUACAUUAAUUAAAGUGUCUAGAAGGUUCGGCACAACAAAGAAUGAUGUAUACAUUUUCACCAAGAUGAGAAUGAAUGAAAUCUCUUGGAUCAUAAUACUUUAGGAUUUGUCUAUUUAUGGGAUGUUUUGUGGUUAUUUUUACUGCCCAGCCAGCAUGGAGAUUCUUAUUUUUUUCUUUUUGCACCAAGACAGAAGUAUUUUAAUAUUUGCUUUGGGAAUAGUUUUAUUUUUAGCUAUUUCCACCUACUUUUUGCAUUCAUUCACAAUCCACUGUUUUGUUUUUUCCUGGCAGUUUCUCUUUCUCUGAAGCUCAAAACACGUGUUUGAUUCUUCGAAAACAGUGAAAAUUGGCAUCUUAAUGAAGUCAGUUUAGAGUGUAGCAGUUGGAGGUGUGUGUCCAAGAGGCGACGUGGCACAUGCCCUCCAGCCAGUUUUGUUGGACCCCAGUGGAAAGCUUUCUGAAUGCCAGUUCCUACCCAGAUUUCCCAGCUCACCAGUCCCAGCCAGCUGGCCAUGGACCAGAUUUGGCCUGAAGCAAUCCAACUUCUCUGCCAUCCAGUAGGUCCAGCCACAAUGAAUUUAGACUCCAAUGAAGUCUGAAUCUUAGUGCUGGAGAGGAACCCCCUUCUCCAAGUGUAUUUCUUCAUUUGGGACUUUCAGAGAAUUCAAGGGAAUUCCCUGAAUUCUCUUUUAUACCCUCUGAGUGGCUACUCACCUGCUACCAGUUAGUAUUUCUUUCUAUUAAAUAUUCCCUGAUCAAUUACUGGUGUUGAUUCUGUUUCCUUUUUGGACCCUGUCUCGUACAGUAAAUCAAUGAGUAAGAAGUCUGAAUACAUAGGACAUUUACUCAGUCUUAAUUCAAGAAUAUUCUGCCUUACUAGGCUAAAAAAAAUGUUAACAAGCAGAGCUUUUUAAAGACCUAAUGUAAUCAUCAGACUCCAGGGAAUAGAUUUUUACUGCUGGAUGGAGCCCAAGAGGCCACCAGCCUUUCCAGUUGAACCAUCCUGGUCACCCAGAGGUGAAGUGGCUUUGUUUAUGGAGUGGCUGUGUGGGACAUGCUGGGAGGCAGCUUCUCCUUGAGAUUCCCCUGGCUGCUGCUGAGGACCCUCUCCAGGAGCUGCACCAGAUGAUGCACUGACGUUUUUAUGAGGACCCAUGGGAGGGAGAAAGUUCUCUCAAGCCUAAGAACUGGGAAUAGUCAUGCUUCUUCUGAAUGACUCUUGGGAUUUAGCUCAUGGACACUCUUGAAACAUGUAACUGCGUGGUUCCUAUUUAGAACAGUGGCCAGAAAGGUCAGGAACAAAACGGUGGCUCUCUCCUGGUAAGCAGGCAGUGCCCCACGGCAAUGACGCUUUACAUUCCUGCUCCCCUGGCUUAACCUCAGCUGUUUUACACCCUGCUUUUUCCCUUGCCUUGAUUGCCUCAUGUAUUUAUUACUGUUAUCCUAUUACAUACAUCAGACACUUUAAAACAUCCAUUUAAGAGUUAGCUAUAAACAAAAUAUCAAAGUAUAAAUCUAUUCUCCUCAAGCUAACAUCAUUGUUCUUUUCAUUACUGUUUCCUUACAGCAACAAAGAAUUCAAAUACUUGUAUCUUCCUGAGAAUAGGUGCACCUCGGAGAUCCAAGAGCAAUUUGUUCAGAUAUUUCAAAAUUUCCUUUACCACUUGCUUACCUAAUUAAUAUGUGUAAUAAAUGUCCAAUUUCAUAUCCAAAUCACAAAAAUUGUUAGCCUGGGCUUUAUCAACUUUUUAGUAUUUUUUCAAUGCAAAGGUAUCCAAAUUGAUCAGUUUGACUAUUACAAGGCUGGCCACAGGCUCAGAAAGAAUAAACUUUUAUUUUUUCUUAUUUCUUUAUCAAAUUAUAGUGUCAAAAUGUGGUUUCUUUCAAAGACAGUCAUUUAGCAAUACUCCACAAAUUGUGGGGAAAAAAAAAAUUUGUGUCCUCUCUCUUAUUUUUGUGCUCUUAUUGUGUUUUCUUUGCUGAAUAAGCAGCUUUCUUUCUCGUGUCUCUAGGAUGGUGAGAGAUGACUAUUCAAAACCUUAUUUACACCUAGACUCCCUCAUGUUUCUGUGCUUCCGUGGCCAGACUUCCACAGCUAUCAUUUAUCAUGGGCAGUGACUCAUACCUUGUAGGGGCAAAAUAAAUAUUUGCUGAAUAAAUCCUCAGAGCUGCUACCAAAAAUGGGAAACCUUGGAAACAAAAAAGCAAUCAUAGAAAAUAAAGUAACUGCAGCUGUGGAAACAGAAAAGCUAUAUGAUAUUCUUGCUUUUCUCUUCAUAAUUCCUCCAAAGAGAGGCAGAUUUUGUUUUCUGUACUGAAGCUGAAAAGCAACGUAGCUUUGUCUUAGUCUGAUUUCAAAGAAUUCCAAACAACGUUUUUCUUGUUUUCCUUUACUUCAGAGAAAACGUGACACUUUGCCGUUGGUAGAUAUUCAUUCUUUUUGUUAAGUAUCUAUGUGAGAGCUUGUCAAUGUUUUUAUGCAGAUAGCCCUGGUAACCUUGGAUCAUCCUCCAGAAAGCCUUUGGUGAAGAAAAGUCAGGCAAAUUGACCUACAGACCAGUCUAAUGGGAGCAAUUCGGAGAAAUGGGCCAUGGGAACAAAUGACAGGAACAGAUAAAAAAAGAAGUGUAAAUGAACCAAAAAGGAGUCAGUGCUUCUGCUCUCCUAUUGCUAUAACCAGCACAUUACUAGACGUAGCCUUCUCUUGGUCUCUUAUUUAACCCUGAGUAUGGUUCAUAGAUAAAUGGGCCAGUGUCCUUUUAACCAUCAGAUUUUCCAUUUAUUUCAGAAAAUAUAAGAUCAAUUUUCCAUGUGAUUUAAUUGGGUUACUGGGUUAGUGCCCUUCAUGCCUUCAAACAUAUUCUUGUACCUAUUUGUAUUACCCAAGUCUUUGAUCUUCCAUAAUGAAGCCUGUGUUUCUCUUAGGGCCCUUCUGGGAUGACUAGCUCAACCGAAUCAAGGAGGAAUGAACCCUUAUUUCUGAACACCCUAAGUUCCUCAUGCAAGUGAGCUAACAGAAAUCAAAACAGACAAAUGAAUUGCAAAAGACACAUUUUAAAUACCGUAUCCUAUCAGUUGAUAUUUUAAUAAAACGGGUGACUAGAUUUUCAGACUUAGACUGGUCUUACAAGUAAUUUGUUUUUGAAAUUACUAAUGGGAAAAUACGUUGACAUUUUCCAACUUUAUCAAUCCCGUGAAAAGUUUUGAUGAUCACUUUUAAGACAUUUUAACAAAAAUAACCUUUUCCUGUAGUAUGUAAGCCUUUGGUUAAGGAAAGCAUGCAUGUUGUAAGUGUAAGUUCUCCUGGCAUUGCGGUGUAAGUAUGACCAGGAAGAUAAAAGGCAGUGGUGUAGCAAAACAGAGCUAUUCAGAUAUGUGUACAGACAGGAUCCCCGGGAGCCAAGGGAUGCUGUGUUGUGAUAUGCUGCAGUUACAUCUGCUCUUGUCCUGUGUGGUCAGCUCACUUCUGAUAAGAUGUGGGAUCUCUGAGGAAUUAAGUCAGGACCUCAAUCUAACCACUAGAGAGCCUGUCGUUGGCAUUAGCAGUGACAUUGGCCCUGCAGUAUGCAAUAGCUGAGCUUCCCCUUGACAAUCACAAAAGUUCCUCAAAGGCUGUCUGCAGGAUAAUGUGAGCAAGUAAAGAGGAAGAGAAGCAUGGCAUGCACAGUACUUAGUAAUGGAAAUAUGACAAUUCCUGUUGCUAUUUUUGACUGGUGCAAAAUUACAGUGGGGAUAAGGCAGUCUAGAAAAGGCUAUGGCUUCAGUGUGCUUAGUUUGGGGGUGAAAGUAGAGAUAAGGGUUGGUACAGUUAAAAAUAAAUGAUUCUGUUGCCAUGGUUUCCUUCUUUAUAAAUUCUUUUCAACAUGAAUUGCUGUUGUUGUGUUUAAUUUUAGAUUCAUGCAGAUUUUCAACAAAUAAGAAUUCCUAUACGUCUGAGAAAUGGUUUUUUAAAGCUGUAGGAAAAGGUUUUUGGCAGUCUGGUUUAAAUAUUUCUAAGCAAAACUAACAUGCAGGGUUCUGGCAUUUAGACAACUACCAAAGGAAAGCGAAUAAAGAGAAUGGGAACUUAAGGAACAUAUAAGGCUACAUUUAUUGUUCUGAUUAAAACAUAAAUUCAUAUUAUUGUAACAUUUAAGGGCAUGCUGAGUAUUAAAUAUGGCCUCAGAACCAUAGGAAUACAGGUGUUCCUCCUAUGGAGUAAGUCUCUUGACAAUGUACCCAUAAAAGAUUUCAGGUAUCAAACAUUAAUUUAGAUAAUUAUGUGUUUAUUAAUAUCAAAGGCUCUAAUUGUGUUUUCAAAACCUGUCAUAUUACCUCAAAUACAAUUCCAUUUUCUUGACUAGGGAACCAGAAUUACUUAUAAUUUAUAUCCACUCUAAAACACCUAUGUUUCAUUUUUUUAAAAAUUAAUAAUGGAUAUUUCAAAUUUGGAAAACAUAAAUGAGAAGGAAGAGUUGACUUUACCAAAUAAAUUAUUUUUCCUUAUGCAUUCCUUAUAGUAUCAUUUAAAUAAUGAACUCCCCUACCACAAUUAAAAUAGGUCUAGAUUUUUAAAAAGCAAGAAAAUCAAAUUACCUGUACAGAAAUGCGUUAUAAUGCAGUUACAAUGUAAACAGCAAUAAUACAGUCGCAGUAGUAAAGGAUGAAAUUCAUUACAACUGAAAGGAAAUGAGUGAACUAUAUUUGUCUUUAUAAAUUUAUUUUCUAAUUUCAUUACUCUGAUUUAUUAUAGUACUUAUUUU
rnacentral:lncRNA from 1 species